rnacentral:rRNA from 1 species
GGGGACCGCCGGACAGUUCGUGAGGUGUUGGCCCUCUCAAAAGCCAAUAACCCCAAGCUAGUUUUCCUUUGCGAGACUAGACAGGAGUCCUCGAGGAUUGAGAAGUUACGUUGGAGGCUAGGCCUCAAGGGUUUUCAUGGUGUCAGUAGUGAUGGAAGGAGUGGUGGCUUAGCUCUCUUU